AUUGAACGCUGGCGGCAUGCCUUACACAUGCAAGUCGAACGGCAGCACGGGUGCUUGCACCUGGUGGCGAGUGGCGAACGGGUGAGUAAUACAUCGGAACGUACCUUAUCGUGGGGGAUAACGCAGCGAAAGCUGUGCUAAUACCGCAUACGCCCUGAGGGGGAAAGCGGGGGAUCGCAAGACCUCGCGCGAUUAGAGCGGCCGAUGCCUGAUUAGCUAGUUGGUGGGGUAAAAGCCCACCAAGGCGACGAUCAGUAACUGGUCUGAGAGGACGAUCAGCCAAACGGGGACUGAGACACGGCCCAGACUCCUACGGGAGGCAGCAGUGGGGAAUUUUGGACAAUGGGGGCAACCCUGAUCCAGCAAUGCCGCGUGAGUGAAGAAGGCCUUCGGGUUGUAAAGCUCUUUUGUCAGGGAAGAAACACCGGCUCUAACACAGUCCGGGAAUGACGGUACCUGAAGAAUAAGCACCGGCUAACUACGUGCCAGCCGCCGCCGUAA
rnacentral:rRNA from 1 species